rnacentral:rRNA from 1 species
UACGUAGGGGGCAAGCGUUGUCCGGAAUCAUUGGGCGUAAAGCGCGUGUAGGCGGCUCGAUAAGUCUGCUGUGAAAGUUCAGGGCUCAACCCUGAAAUGCCGGUGGAAACUGUCGGGCUAGAGUCCGGAAGAGGCGAGUGGAAUUCCUGGCGUAGCGGUGAAAUGCGCAGAUAUCAGGAGGAACACCAAUGGCGAAGGCAGCUCGCUGGGACGGUACUGACGCUGAGACGCGAAAGCGUGGGGAGCAAACAGG